AGGAAAGGAACUGCCUAGAUAGCUGCAGGAAGCCUCGUUUGUGAGGUGCUAUGGGCUGUAUGCUAUCAGGAGAAGAGCUGCAGAGGGUAGGAUGGCCCUGGCUCCAGUGAAGGAAUCAGUGUUGAGAGAAUACCUACUAUGUAAAGAGUCUAGGUGUGGUGCAGAAGAAUGUUAAAGCAGCAACAGCGGCUACCUGUGCUUCAACCAUCAGUCCUUACCCAACCAAUGGUGUGGAAAUGCAAGAGAAUCCGUAUAACCCUGACCUCGGAUUCCUGAACACUGCUGCUUCACAUGGAAACACCUAAGGCAGAGGUUGGCUGUACUGCAUUGUACAGCAGGCAGUUCCUUUUCCACAUUGAAAAUAGUUUGGUUUUUCUAAGUAUUCAGUAUAAAGAAGAGCUGCUUCUGGAAAGAGGAGCAUGUUUAUACAAAAAGCAGUUUUGUAUUACUAUUUCUGUUGUGUUUGAAUAACACUUCUUCUCCCUCACCAUCCAGUUUCGGCUUCCAACAGCCUUCAUACCACAUUUGUGAUCCGAGUAGGUGGCUAUGGAAAGCCACAUCUCAGUAUGAGGCCCUGGCUGAGAUAUUAAAGUUGGUGGUUCUUUAAACGUGACCUCCCAUGUAGAGCAGUGCAAACUCUACCAGAGACUUGGGUCCUGAAACUCAGGCUGGCUUCUUUCUUUCUUGUACAUUAUCACCAGAAAUAAAGAUUCUAGAGGCCAUGGUUUAGUACCUCAUUGACACCUCUGCAAAAUCCAUCACCUUUUAGUGUGGUUGCACAUGAGAAAUGGAAAUCAGAAUAUGAAGGCAAUAGGGUUGCACUUGUGUAAUUGAGUUGCAACAUUUGACUUGAAGUAUCUUAGUGCUGGGAUGUGUGAGAAGGAGAGCUCAGUUUGACUCGAAGUCCAAGUUGAGUUUGCUGGGCUGUUAGUUGGAAAAAUGACCUGAAUUUAGCAAAUCUCACAUGGAGUCACACACACUGAAUAUUAGCCCCAUGAUUCCAUUGUUACAAAGUCACUUUUCAGGGAAAAGCUAAACUUUAAUCUGAAAGCUGACAUUUAACAUGUUUAAUUGCCUAUUUAUAUUUAGAUCAUAUUUCUUGUUUCCCCAUCCUUUUUUGACAUUACUGAAAUAAGCGUCUUACCCCUCUUCCAAAUCAGGACAUUAUUCAAGUAGGUGUUUUAUAUUGCUUUUUCAGUUGACAUUUACAUGCUAGUUUUAGUCCCAAACUAAAUUUUCUUUAAUUCUUAGUCUCAAACUAAAUCCGUUUGUGUUAUAAAAAUGUGAAAAGGAUGUUUGCAUGUUCUAAGAAACAUUAGAUGCUGUUUUUCCUGCUCAGUUAACUGAAAAAUGGUUUCUCUUUAAAACUUUAGAUUUGCCAUGGACUUAAUCCUAGAAAGUGGAGAAAUGCUUCUGAAAAUAUUGGCUUAAAUCUAGCCCUGAUGUACAACAGGUUCAGCUCCAUGUUUGCACCCACUUACACCACAACUGAUUUUGGUCUUUUUGGUUUAGAAAUAAUAGAUGUGUUUUGAAAAUAUUGCUGGAAAAAUCACAUUCAGAAAGCACAUUGAUACAUUCAGAAAAUUGUAGUGAGUAUGCACCUGGAACUUCACACAGUGGGCUGUCAGAUGUGACUAAUUCUUAUCAAGCCAAGAUGAGAAUCUAGCCCAUGGAAACAUAUUACAUUUAUUUCAGUUGUCAUCCUAUACACAUGGAAAGAUUCACAUAAAGACACUGGGCCAAAUCCAGAAUUAGUAGGGACAAUUCUGUUGACUUCAACGGUGGCAUAUAAGUUGAUUUACACGUUGGAGUCAAUUUAUUUGAAUUUGCAGACAGCCAAUUUUUCUUGAUUAAAAACAAAUUCAAUGCAAAAUUUCAGGUCAGUCCAACAUAAUGGUUGAGCAUUUAAUGCCAAAAGGUCAGGAAAGUCCAUGGCAGAAUUGGGACUACAAACCAGAUCUCAGGACUUCAUAUGCAGUAUGUAUAUUGGUUGUAGAAAAACCUACAUUAAAAGGGAACUUAACACAAAGUCAGGAAGUUGUUAUGGUUUCCACAUCAAGUGAAUUAUUCUCUUUUCUUAUGAGUCAUCUUAAAUGUUAUACACAGGCUGUUCAGGCCUGGAAUUAUUUUAGGGGUGUGUGUGUGUUUGCACGUGCAAAUAGA